AUAAAUAUAAUUUUACGGGCUUAAAAGUAACAUAAAAACUAUCUUUGAAUUUAAUUAUCAAAGUUAAUAUGAUAGGUGGUAGGAUUCAAAAUAAAAUAUAAUACAUAUGAUAUUAAGUGAGUAGAAGACUAUCUAAAUAAUAUUAUUUGUUGCCUCAAUCAUUUUAUUGAUUAUAAAGUCCAUCAACAUAUAAACAUAAGUAAAUGAUAGCUCCCACAUCAUUCAAACACAUGUGCAUACGCCUGAUUUUGAAGAAAGUGGUAGUUUUGGGCUUACAACACACCUUGGUUUUGAAGGUUUUUUACACAUAUCUUUUGGACAAUGAGAAUCUUGAGAACAUUUAUUAAUUGCUGUAAUGAAAAAAGAGAAUAAAAAUAUAUUAUUAAAAUAAUAUAUGAUAUUAUGUACAGAGUAACUAAGAAAAGUUAAAAAGAUUAAAAAUUGAUUACCAUUAACGUUUGUUGCAACAAGAAAUAGUGAAAGAAAGAUAAUCAUAACAUAAAUAAACUUGAGAAUUUUAACCAUAGUUUCUCU
rnacentral:lncRNA from 1 species